AGACCUACCAUCAGCAUACUGAAUUCCUGCUGAGGAUAUAUGUGUGUGCCAUGAUAAUAACAUUCUUUUUGAUCCUGCUGAGCUGUCCAGAAGGUAGCUCGAUCACAGCUUAAAAGAAGCAUGCUCACGUCCUGGCAUAGCCCUGCAUCAACUUCUUAAAAGCUUUCCAGGAUACCUGUCUAUUUUAGGAUUUCAAGCUCCAGCAGUCUUCCUUAACAAACAAUUGCAGGAACAGUUUUGAGAAUUUCAGCUGUGUGGAGAUUGUCCCAGAAAACCUCAGUCUGCUCAUGUGCUUGCAGAGGAGAAUUGAAUCUCCAGAUGUCUGGGCUCAUUCUUUGAGGAGAAAUAUUCCUUUUGUUCAUAUUUUCUUCUUUAUGGAGAGAAUUAAUUCUAUUGUGUGGGUUUUGUUUUAGUAAAAUCUGUAUAUUGCAACAAAAUGUUUGGAAACUUCUUCUGUGGUUUGAAUUACAUUAUUGUUCUUUCACUUCGGGGAGGGAAAAAAUACUUAACUGAAGUAGGUGUAUUGUUUCUGAGAGAGGGAAAAAUAAACUUGUUAAUGAGAGAAAAUAAUGGUACUAAAGUGCAUUUUUCAGAAUAAAU